CCUAAACGAAAGAUAAUGUCAUUUAAUUACUAAAUAUACAUCUGCUGCACUGGUUUUAAACACAUCCAAUGUCGAAACAGAAGGUACGGGGCUCAGUGUGACCAGAUGUGUAUGAUGACGUGCUUUUAUCAGGACUGUCAGUUUACUGGAGUUUGUAAGUCGUGUGCACCAAACAGAGCCGGUGACUACUGCCUGGAUAGGGCUAAGGAUGUAUCAGAAAAGGAAAGUUUAAAAAAACCAUGAUUUUUCAGAAGUUUAGUUAACUAAUUUAAGGCAAUUGAUAUAUACAAGAUCUACAAAUAUUGUAAUCAGGCUCAAAUAAAAUAUU